AAUGACAAAGAAGAAAUCUGGAUGGCCUCUGCCAGUUAACCCACUCGGGACAAUAAAGAUGGUUUUCCCCAGGAAGCUUUGAUAUUUGGCUCAUGUACUUUCUGCACAAUCAAGAAGUAUUUCUCAAGACUGUUCUGCUGCAAACAUGCCACCUGCUUAGCUGCUUUUUGCUCUUGAAGUUUGAUAAGGUGAGGAAGAGGGUAAAUGCAGCCAGAUACAGAAGGAGGACAUAUCUAAAAGCUUGUUUUCUGCUGCUCCAGAGAACAGGACCCGGAACAAUGGAUGCAAGCUGCAGGAAAAGAGAUUCC